CCUACGGGUGGCAGCAGUGAGGAAUAUUGGUCAAUGGACGAGAGUCUGAACCAGCCAAGUAGCGUGAAGGAUGACUGCCCUAUGGGUUGUAAACUUCUUUUAUAAAGGAAUAAAACGAGGCAAGUGGGCCUGUUUGCAUGUACUGUAUGAAUAAGGAUCGGCUAACUCCGUGCCAGCAGCCGCGGUAAGACGGAGGAUACGAGCGUUAUCCGGAUUUCUUGGGUUUAAAGGGAGCGUAGAUGGGUUGUUAAGUCAGUUGUGAAAGUUUGCGGCUCAACCGUAAAAUUGCAAUUGAUACUGGCAGUCUUGAGUACAGUUGAGGUAGGCGGAAUUCGUGGUGUAGCGGUGAAAUGCUUAGAUAUCACGAAGAACCCCGAUUGCGAAGGCAGCUUACUAAACUGUGACUGACAUUGAUGCUCGAAAGUGUGGGUAUCAAACAGGAUUAGAUACCCCUGUAGUC
rnacentral:rRNA from 1 species